AUUUCCUACUGGUACAGCGCCCGAGCUUGCUUAGCGCGCGACACAACCAGCCGGUGGACGCCGGAGACGGCCGUUGGAGGUCAAUGCAGUAUUAUAUAUAUCAUGGCAAUUGGCAAAGAUCUUCGUGGCUUUUAGCUGUUGGUACGCUCUUUUCAAGCAGUGUUGGCACAUUCGGCUGGGAGACCCUUCUUUCAGCAGGAAAAAUC
rnacentral:lncRNA from 1 species